CAAGGGUGAUCAUAGGAGAUUUUUUUUUUUUUUGCUUUGUUUUGUUUUAGACAGGGUUUCACUGUGUAGCCUUGGCUGUCUUCAAACCCAGAGAUCCUCCCCUCUGGCCUGUGCCUCCGGAGUGAUUAAAGGCAUUCACCAACACCACCUGGCUAUUGAAGGAGCUUUGAACCACAUCUUGGGUAUCUUCUCACCUUCCCCCUCCAAUUUAUCUUUUCUCUAAUUUAGCUCUAGCCUCUUGGGGAAAAAAAAAUCCUCAAACAAACUCUUCCUCAUUUCUUUCUGAGCUGAGAAGAAAGCCUCCUCUACUCUAAUUCCUCUGACAAUUCUUCACAAAAAAGAAUAGCAUGCCUAGAUUCCAGAUUUGCACUGGUAUUUCUCCUAAAAGAGGGCGGAAGCCGAAGCAGCAAACCUGCUGUUAUAAGCAGUUGCUGGGCUGAAGGAGCAGCUCUGGGGUCCACACUCUCUGUAAACACCAGAGAAGAGUCCACAGUGUCCUUGGGAGGAAAGAAGCCUUCCUCAGUCCCAACAGUCAAGGAGAUACUCUCAGAAAGCAGAACCCAGGUGCAGGGCUUGGGGCAUAUGUGCAGAAGGACAUUUCCUGUGGAAAUCAGUGAGGACAGGUGGAUGUGGGUGCCUAUGGAAGCCUGAGCACUGCGGCCAUGCAGCUCAGAGUUCUGUAAGAAUUGGUCCUUUCUCUUUCCCGGGAAGGGAUCAGUUGUAAUGCUGCAUGUCUACUUCACAGCUGGAUGAAUAGAGUUAGGGAAUCUUAUCUGAGAUUGUCUCUCUAGGACCUGCUAAUGCCAUCCAACCAGGUAAAGGUAUACAGAUCCUUGUUCCGCAGAUCUUCAGAACAAUCCAGUUUCUCUGGGACAAAUCUCCUCUCCAUCCUGGAAGGCCCUUGUUCUGUUGGUCAGUCCUCAAUAGUUUUAUAACUCAUCUUGAAGGCCUGACCCAUGUCCUCUCAAAAACUUAUCCCCUGUGUCCAUCACUUGCUUGCUCACAACCUCAGCAAGUGAUUGGUCUGAUCUUGCUCCAGAAGGGACCAGCGCUCCAAAUUUUACUCCCUUACUGCAUACUGUGCUUUUGUCACUCUGAGAUGCUGUGUGCAGAUUCUAAUGACAUUUGGAGAUAGUCAAGGGACAGAGAUACUUCUAGCACCCCACUACUUGAACUGUCAGGUAGCUCAUGAAGGGCACCCAUUUCUGCCUUCCUUUUGGCCUGUCCAAAACCUCUGUCUCCUUCAAGGUCUAUAGUUUCCUAUAGUAAAAAGUCACAUGCCAUUUGGAUUGCAGGUACCACACAUGUCAAUGUUUUCCUUUGGCUUCAGGUCUCUAAGAAGGCGGGCCUGCUGUGUCUCAGGGGUCACUCUCUCCUCUCUGCAGCAUAAGGAUGGAGAGGUCACUAGAGUUCCAGCUUUCAAAAAGUAAGGUAGUUCUCCCUGGUGGCCUCCUUCAGCCUUGCCUUCUAUCCCAUCUCCAGUCCUUUGUGACUAUGUUGACUGACAGAAACUCUCUGCCAAGGAUCCAGAGCUGCCACACUCUGCUGGGACUCAGGUAGGAGACCUUCUCCCUUCAUCUGGUUUCUGCAGAAUUACCUUAGCCAAAAAGUAGUAACUCUGGGUCAAGGCUGAUACAAUUAUUGAUAAAUAGUUUAUUCCGUGGGUUAUGGGUACAUGUAUCAAAGGAUGGUGUAGGUAGCAAAGACAUUGAUAACUGUUAAUGGGACCUAGAAAAGGAUUGUGGGGAACCAACCCAUUCCAUAAGACUCAUCCAGUUUUAGUCUUUGGAAGAUGCAGACUGUGAGCUCAAAGAUCUGGAUCUAACAAGUGCCUUCUACAUGCCUGGUUCUGUGAAAUGGUUUAUAACUCUCCAGUCACUCACAUACCCUCCCAGUAACCCUAAGAGCUGGGAAGAUUCUAUCCCCUUGCUCUGGAUGAGGAAAUAGAAUCACAGAGAUAUUAAGCAAUUUCCCCAAAGAUGAACAGCUAGUCAGUGGUAGUGAUGGUGUUCAAACCUCGACAGACUGAGUCUGGAGCCUGUGUCUUCAACUACAAUUCCUUUGAAGGCCAAGGGUUGGGUGAUGGGUGACUUUGUAACCAGCCAGAAAAUGUUUCAAACUUAUAAUCAAUGAGGCCUGACUUUGAGAAGAGCGCCCCCUUCAGGCCACUGUGCAUCCUCUUCUUAAAUUGCAUGUACUUUGGGAACACUUUAUAAAUAUUUAUUGACAUUAGUAAUUAGCCAUGCUCUGAAACCAUCUACAGCUCCCAUUGCUUUUAGAAUUUUGUAUGUUCUGGCCUUCAAGACCCUCCACUCUUCACUCCUCAGCUGAUCCUCUGGUUGGAAUGACCCCAACCCCUGUCUGAGUUCUUUUGGCUUCUAUACUUUCUCCUGAUUACCCCCCCCAACAUUAUCGUCCCUAACAUUCACAUUUCUUGGUUUUUAAGGUACCGUUCCAAGCAAGCAGUCUAGGAGGAGGAGGAGGACAUCUUCCCUUUCUUCUAGUCCUGGGGCAUCACAGGACCUUGGCAUUACACAUCUGGUGGAAACAGAGACCAAGGCUCCCUUCCUUUGCCGCUGCAUCCUUAACUACCACUGGAUCUUCAGACUCUGCUUUCCAGCUGUCCAGCCAGCUGAACCUAGACCCAGAAGAGCCCAGCUGUCAUGGUCUCACCACUGGCUUCCUGAAGAUAAUCUUCAAUUUGCCUGCAGCCCGAUGCCUCAGUGGGUUCCACUUGAACCUAAGACCCACGGUCCCUCCUCACCUGCAGAGCCAUGUCCAAACUCAGCCUGGAGCUGGCUACUUUUACAUUCCCCAGCAAUCUGUAGAAACUUGAGCCAGCUACUUCCCACUCUGAAAUGUUGACAAGUGCUCCUAAUAAAAUAAAGAGCUUGUUUUCUAUCUUUU